rnacentral:tRNA from 1 species
UAGCUCAGUUGGUAGAGCAACGGAUUGAAAAUCCGUGUGUCCCCAGUUCGAUCCUGGG